rnacentral:rRNA from 1 species
GUAGGGAAUAUUGGGCAAUGGUCGGAAGACUGACCCAGCCAUGCCGCGUGCAGGAAGACGGCCCUCUGGGUUGUAAACUGCUUUUAUCUGGGAAGAAAAAGGCCAUGCGUGGCAAAUUGCCGGUACCAGAUGAAUAAGCACCGGCUAACUCCGUGCCAGCAGCCGCGGUAAUACGGAGGGUGCGAGCGUUGUCCGGAUUUAUUGGGUUUAAAGGGUGCGUAGGCGGCUGAUUAAGUCAGCGGUGAAAGACUUCGGCUUAACCGGAGCAGUGCCGUUGAUACUGGUUGGCUUGAGUGUCGGAGGGGUACAUGGAAUUGAUGGUGUAGCGGUGAAAUGCAUAGAUACCAUCAGGAACACCGAUAGCGAAGGCAUUGUACUGGCCGACAACUGACGCUGAUGCGCGAAAGUGUGGGGAUCGAACAGGAUUAGAUACCCCUGUAGUCC